rnacentral:rRNA from 1 species
UACGGAGGAUGCAAGCGUUAUCCGGAUUUAUUGGGUUUAAAGGGUGCGCAGGCGGACUAAUAAGUCAGUGGUGAAAUUUACAUGCUUAACAUGUAUCGUGCCAUUGAUACUGUUAGACUAGUAUACAAAUGACGUAGCUGGAAUGUGUUAUGUAGCGGUGAAAUGCAUAGAUAUAACACAGAACACCGAUCGUGAAGACAGGUUACGAAUUUGUUAUAGACGCUCAGGCACGAAAGCGUGGGGAUCAAACAGGAUUAGAUACCCUGGUAGUCCACGCUGUAAACGAUGAUAACUUGUUGUUGGGCACAUAGUGCUCAGUGGCUAAGCGAAAGCGAUAAGUUAUCCACCUGGGGAGUACGAUCGCAAGGUUGAA